rnacentral:rRNA from 1 species
UACGUAGGGGGCAAGCGUUGUCCGGAUUUACUGGGCGUAAAGAGCGUGUAGGCGGCCAAACAGGUCCGUUGUGAAAACUGGAGGCUCAACCUCCAGACGUCGACGGAAACCGUGUGGCUAGAGUCCGGAAGAGGAGAGUGGAAUUCCACGUGUAGCGGUGAAAUGCGUAGAGAUGUGGAGGAACACCAGUGGCGAAGGCGACUCUUUGGCCUGUAACUGACACUGAGGCGCGAAAGCGUGGGGAGCAAACAGG